rnacentral:rRNA from 1 species
GUGCCAGCAGCCGCGGUAAUACGGGGGGGGUAAGCGUUGUUCGGAAUUACUGGGCGUAAAGGGCUCGUAGGCGGCCAACUAAGUCAGACGUGAAAUCCCUCAGCUUAACUGGGGAACUGCGUCUGAUACUGGAUGGCUUGGAUCCGGGAGAGGGAUGCGGAAUUCCAGGUGUAGCGGUGAAAUGCGUAGAUAUCUGGAGGAACACCGGUGGCGAAGGCGGCAUCCUGGACCGGUAUUGACGCUGAGGAGCGAAAGCCAGGGGAGCAAACGGGAUUAGAUACCCUAGUAGUCC